GAUUUCACUGAUUUAUACAAGAAAUCAGAUCUUUACAGGAGGAACAAAAUAUUGAUUAGUGAACUUAGCGUGCCUCGCCCUGGUACAAAAGAUCUGCAUUUCAAGAAUCAAUACUCACAAACAUUUUGGACCCAAUGUCUGGCUUGCCUUUGGAAGCAACAUUGGUCAUACUGGCGUAAUCCUACUUAUACUGCAGUCAGAUAUAUUUUUACAGUCAUCAUUGCCUUGGCCAUUGGGACAAUGUUCUGGGAUCUUGGUACUAAAGUGUAAGUCCAAUCAUAUGACGGAACAAGCACUCAUAUAAUCUGGAAAAUACUUUCAGUUCUUAAUGCUAAAAACUUAUUUUUUUGGUAUUACAGCAGUAAGAGCCAAGACCUAUUUAACGCUAUGGGAUCUAUGUAUGCUCCAGUUCUCUUCCUUGGUUUUCAGAAUGCAUCAUCAGUGAUGCCUGUUGUAGCUGUUGAGCGUACAGUAUUUUACAGAGAAAGAGCUGCUGGAAUGUAUUCUUCCCUCCCCUAUGCCUUUGGACAAGUAAGCAUAUGAUUUAACUUCUUACAAGCCAAUAUCCGGUUUAAAAAGUCUAAAUAACUCUAAUCUGCAGACUUUCAUUGAAAUACCAUAUGUCUUUGUGCAAGCUGUUACCUAUGCUGUUAUCAUCUAUGCUAUGAUCGGAUUUGAAUGGACAGUGAGCAAAUUCUUUUGGUACUUGUUUAUCAUGUAUUUCACUUUCUUGUAUUUCACCUUCUAUGGUAUGAUGAGUGUUGCCGUUUCCCCAAAUCAAAAUAUUGCGCAAAUUGUCUCUCUCUUCGGCUAUUCAAUGUGGAAUCUUUUCUCAGGAUUCAUGAUUCCGCGACCUGUAAGUUGUUGAAACAAUUCCAUUUUGUUUUACAUGAAAAUCAAUUUAGAGCUUGAAAAUGAUGACAUGUUUUCAUUGAUUUUAAAUAACCAGAGUAUGCCCAUAUGGUGGAGAUGGUACUAUUGGGCUGAUCCUGUUGCCUGGACAUUGUAUGGUUUGGUUGUAUCGCAAUUCGGAGACCUCCAAGAUAAAAUUACUGAUAUAGAUGAGACAUCCAAACAAUUCUUGAGGCGUUACUUUGGGUUCAAGCAUGAUUUUCUUGGAGUAGUUGCAGCUGUGACUGUUGCAUAUGCUGUUGUUUUUGCCUUCACAUUUGGUUUGGCCAUUAAGUUUUUCAACUUCCAGAAAAGAUAGAAGAGCUUACCUGCUGAAGAUGGAACAUUCAUGAAAUGGUUAUAAAACUAGUGUAUUCAGGUUACCACUUGAACAAGUAUAUAUAUGUUCUGUUUGUUUUGUAUCGCACUACUAUGCAGUGAAAUGAUUUUGUAAGUUUGAAUCGAUUGUUUGUUUUUUCUUGAUGAAGGUGAUCCGCUACUUAAACACCCCUUGCGGACUUGUUGUCAACCCGUAGCUUCACUUAGAACCCUUUCUUAACCAUAGACUGUUGGAUCGAUCGUCCCUAUUUCAGACUUUGAAAUCUUUUCAUAGUGAACCAGUGGGGACAUGCACCUUGAACCUUUUAAGAGUAUACCGUGCAUAUUUUCAACUCGAAUGGAGGGCAAGGCAUAUAUUUAAGUGCUACAAAUUUUUACUAGUCCUGUGAAAAAUCAUUAUAUUGGUGUGUUUUCUUAACUUGUUUGGUAUUCUUGAACUUUCAGAAAGUCGAAGUUCAUGUCUUUGAUCGAUGGUCUUGGACUUUAUUUUGACCCCCAUACUUGCUCUAUGGACAAACCUAACAUGUCUCAAGUCUCAAGUCCAAACUUGUUGCUCAGGUGAACAUUAAGUUUCACAUUGGUUAAGGAAUUAGCCAUCCUAAUUUUUGGGGUUAAGUUAAAGUUCAUUUCUUCACAAUCUACGACUGGUUGUUAUACACAUAUAAAUAAAGGUGAUUGUAUUAAAAGAAUGGAAGCUUCCUCUUCCACUUCUUAAAUAAUGGCCAAAAAAAGAAGAAGAAAAAGCUGUCACUAAUUAAUACAAGGUUUAACAUCUUUUAUUAGAAUUUGACUUCAGAUUAUCAAUUCUAUUGAAUCAUCUUAGGGAGUCUAUAAGAUCAGAAGAUAUGUAUGUUAAGAUAUACAACUCUUAAAGAUGUAGAGUAAAAGAAAAAAAAAUAGAUUGAACCUAACAUAAAUAUAUAGAGUAACAAAAUAUUUAAUGUCCCAAUUAAUGUCAAUUCUUAAGCAUUUUAAUUCUAGCAGAAAACUUUGAUGGUUUUAGUCUUUUAGAUACUAGUACAAUUUAUAACCAAUAAAGUUGGCCUCUAUCGCUAGAGCUGUUAUAACGAAAAAUCAAACCAAACCAAAAAACGAAUCAAAUUGGAGAACAAAUACUUUUUUUUUGGAUUGUUUCUUUUAUCAAUUUUAACAAAGGACAAGUUUCCUAUAAAGUAAUUGUCUUGGUAGUGUUAAAUAGUUGCCGAAAUAUCACUGCUAACGCCAUUUUCGACAUCUUUGAAAUUCUGAGCUUGUGGUCUUCCUUCAAAAAUUCGAUGAGAUCUGAACUAAUGUAUGCUUGUUUUAGUUUUAAUAUUAGUAAAACCGACUUCUGUAUAAUUAAUGUCUGAUAGUCUUGUUUCUUUUUAAUCCCUAACCCCUACUCUUUAGGCGACAGUUUUGAUGAAGUAUAUUCAAAAGCAUUGUGCAAAAUUAGUUAUAUUUUUCUCAAAUUAUUUAUUACAUUAAUAGCUAACCCCCCUCCUUUUCUACUUGAUAUUAUAUAAUAAUAAUCCCUUUGCUUUUAAACUUCAGCAACACACUUAACUAACUUAGUUUGGUUCAAAAUGGAGCCAACUAAUUCAAGAGGUACUAGUUUGAGAGAAAGAAUAAUCAGGGGAAAUAGUUUGAAAGGGAAUAGUACUAACAACUCUAGGUGGACUAGCAAUGAUGGAGAGAUUUUUAAUCGUUCCACGAGGGAUGAAGAUGAUGAAGAGGCUCUUAAAUGGGCAGCUCUUGAAAAACUUCCAACGUUUGAUCGUUUGAGAAAAGGUCUCUUGUUUGGAUCACAAGGUGCAUCUGCUGAAAUUGAUAUACAUGAUAUUGGUUUUCAAGAAAGAAACAAGUUGCUUGAAAGGCUUGUCAAAGUUGCAGAUGAGGAUAAUGAGAAGCUCUUGUUGAAACUCAGGCAAAGAAUUGACAGGUAAGUUGAUGAAUCUUCUGUCGUCUUUGGCGGACGAAAAAUAUCUAUGUAGUUGUGAUUACAUUUUAGUAGUGUACGAGUUUACUUUAGGUUCAUGUUCGUUAGAUGUAGUUAGAGAUAUAUACGUUGUUUGAUAAUUUAGAGAAUUUUUGUAGUGUUAGAGAAACUAAAACUACCUUUUAUAUUCCUUGUACAAAUUUAUGUAACAUAAUUUGACUGCGCAUGAAGAUUUAGAAGAAAUUUUUUUGAAACUCGUGGCUGUAAACUUGGCAUAUCACUUGUGUGGCUACAAAAGUUUCUCACUAAAGGUAGAACGAUCAUUCUUUCUUUAACGAACUGAUAAGGAAACAGUUUUGCAUAAAUUGGAACCAUGGGAGAAAUAUUAAACUGAGACAUAUGUAAACGGAGUGACAUGGAUUGUGAGGAUUAAUAUGGUCAAUCUGACUUGCUUACAAAUUGAGACAUAGUAGUUGUUAUACUGUUGAUUAUCUAAAACUAGUUUUUUUUUUUUGAAAAAUAAUAUUUAACUUAGGCGGUCUUAAGUGGAGCAGACUUAGAUUUAUGAAGAUUCAUAUAGUCAGUCAGACUUGCUUAGAAUUGAAACAUGAUUAUUGUUAUACUGUUGCUUAUCUAUGACUAGUUGUUUUUCCCUCUUGAUUUAACCUUUCUUAUUUCUUUUCACAGAGUUGGGAUAGAUUUCCCAGAAAUAGAAGUAAGAUAUGAGAAUUUAACUAUCGAGGCAGAUGCAUAUAUAGGAAGUAGAGCUUUGCCUACAUUUACCAACUUUAUCACUAAUUUUCUUGAGGUAAAAUAUCUAAAAGAAAAUCUUGAUUUCGAAUCAGUUCUCUUUAACAAAAAGAAUUUUUUUGUUUUGAUUUUUGGAUUCAUAGGAUAUGUUGAACUCUCUCCAUAUUCUACCGAGUCGAAAGAGGAACCUCACUAUUCUUAAUGAUGUGAGUGGUAUCAUUAAGCCUUGCAGAUUGACUUUGCUUUUAGGACCUCCAGGUUGUGGGAAAACUACUUUUUUAUUAGCUUUGGCUGGAAAGCUCGAUUCUGCCCUUAAGGUAAUACCAUUAGUUCUACGUAUUGAAGGGACUUAAGCUAUAUAUACUGACUGCAAAGAUUAUCAUUUUUAUCAGUUCAACAAUUAAUAUGUUCUUAUCAUAGACCGUCAAUGCAUAGAACUUAAACUCCAAACCAAAUGUUUGUAUUUGGUUGCUUUUUUUCUGUUUUUCCGAAAUCAGGUUACUGGAAAAGUGACCUAUAAUGGACAUGUAAUGAAUGAGUUUGUGCCACAAAGAACAGCUGCUUAUAUUAGCCAGUAUGAUUUACACAUUGGAGAAAUGACUGUGAGGGAAACCUUGGAAUUUUCUGCCAGAUGCCAGGGAGUUGGCUCGCGUUAUGGUUGGAAUCUCUUACCUUUUUUCUUAAUCUUGAUUAUGUUUCAUACUUUAUUUUUCAAUGAAAAAAAUCAGUUCUUUUUUUUGAAAUUUAACUAACUAAAUGAUAAACGAUUAGUGUUUCUGGGAAUUUUUUUGCAGAGAUGUUGAUUGAACUGUCAAGAAGAGAGAAAGCAGCUAAAAUCAAGCCAGAUCCUGAUAUUGAUAUUUUCAUGAAGGUAGGCAACUAGGAUAUUUCCUUUCUCGAAAACAAAUGCUCAUAAUCCUAAUUAUGUUGUGACAAUGUAGGCAUUAGCCACAGAGGGACAAGAAGCCAUUUUUGUUACAGAUUACGUUCUGAAGGUAACAAAGGUUUCUCGAAAUUUUGGACGGUCAGAAGGCAGAAGAAAAUUUGACAACUGAGUGAUAUGUGUAUUCUACUGCAGCUUUUGGGACUGGAUAUUUGUGCAGAUACUCUGGUGGGAGAUGAAAUGAUAAGGGGUAUUUCAGGAGGACAAAAGAAGCGCGUGACAACCGGUGAAAUGCUCGUUGGACCAUCCAAGGCACUCUUCAUGGAUGAAAUCUCGACUGGAUUGGAUAGUUCAACUACUUACUCAAUAGUGAACUCACUAAGACAAUCUGUGCAAAUCUUACAUGGAACUGCUGUGAUAUCUCUCUUGCAGCCAGCACCCGAGACGUACAACUUGUUUGAUGACAUUAUUCUGUUAUCAGAUGGGAAAAUUGUCUAUCAGGGCCCUCGAGAGGAUGUCCUUGGCUUCUUCGAGUCCAUGGGGUUCAAAUGUCCAGAUAGAAAAGGCGUGGCCGACUUCUUGCAAGAAGUAUGUCUUACAAGAAACUACAAAACUAAUAAUAAUGUUGACAAGCAGUGAUCUAUUUUCCCUUCUGAUGGUGAAAAUUUAAAUAUGUUGCAGGUGACUUCAAAGAAAGAUCAACAGCAAUAUUGGGUGAGGGAUGAAACUUACCAGUUUAUCAAGUCAAAUGAAUUUGCUGAGGCAUAUCAAUCAUUCCAUGUUGGGAGGAAACUCGCGGAUGAGCUUGCAGCUUCAUAUGACAAGAGCAAAAGCCAUCCUGCUGCUUUGUCAACUCAAAAGUAUGGUAUAGGGAGGAAACAACUCUUAAAGGUCUGCACUGAACGAGAAAUCUUACUAAUGAAGAGGAACUUAUUUGUUUACAUUUUCAAGUUCAUUCAGGUGAUAACUUGUCUAUGAAAAUUUUCAAUUUUCACGUCUCCGGCUCAUCAUAUUUACUUGCAAGUACUAAUGCCUCAAGGUUGUGAUCUGUUCACAGAAUAUGAUUAUCGCAGUCAUAACAACGACCCUCUUUUUCCGUACUAAGAUGCCCCAUGAUACUAUAGAAGAUGGAGGAAAAUAUGCUGGUGCACUCUUUUUUAUAGUCACUCAGAUCAUGUUUAGCGGAAUGAUUGAGAUAGGCUUGGUAAUUUACAAACUUCCUAUCUUCUACAAGCAAAGGGAUCUUCUAUUUUUCCCUUCAUGGGCUUAUGCAAUGCCCUCAUGGAUACUAAAAAUCCCUAUAGCAUUUGUUGAAGUUGGCCUUUGGGUGUUGCUCACUUACUAUGUAAUUGGAUUUGAUCCAUCCCCUGUAAGGUAAGGGAAGAAAAAGAUGAUGCAGUAAAAAUAUCAGGUUAAAAAAAAAAGAAGAUGAUGCAAUAAAAAUAUCAGGUUAACUUCAACAGUUUCCUUUUUACCUUUUGCAGAUUAUUCAAACAUUUCUUGCUACUCAUAUUAGUAAACCAGAUGACAUCAGGAAUGUGCCGCUUCCUUGGGGCUGCUGGAAGGACCAUGGGAGUUGCAAAUACAUAUGGAACAUUUGCUCUGCUUUUACUUUUUGGAUUGGGUGGAUUCGUUCUUUCACGAGGUAUUUUUGUUGAUUUAUGUGGUUGUAGAAGCUUUUAUCUUCCUAGAACUGACUCCUGCAAAUAUUGUAGAUGAUGUGAAGAAGUGGUGGAUAUGGGGUUACUGGUCUUCACCGUUGAUGUAUUCUCUGAAUUCAAUUUUUGUCAAUGAAUUUGAUGGGAAAAGGUGGAAACACAUUGCACCAACAGGAACUGAUUCACUUGGAGUUGCAAUUGUAAGAUCCCGAGGUUUUUUCCCAAAUGCAUACUGGUACUGGAUUGGUGUCGGUGCACUUAUUGGUUUCACAAUCGUCUUUAACAUCUGCUACAGUAUUGCACUCGCUUUUCUUAACCGUGAGUAUCUUUAGAGUUUUUCCAUUUAUUUUCCCUUAAAGGCGUAUACAUUGAAUGUUUAGUUGAAUAUCUACAGCACUUGGUAAGCCGCAAGGUAUGAUAUCAGAAGACAGUGAUGAUGCCAAAACAACAAACACUGGGAAAGAAGUACCCACUAGUGAGGGCCAGAAUAAGAAAAAGGGAAUGGUUCUUCCAUUUGAACCGCAUUCCAUCACCUUCAAUGAAGUUACAUACUCUGUUGACAUGCCUCAGGUAACUAGCUGGGAAUUGUUGUAGGAUAUAAAAAUUAUGAUACUUUCAGUGAUACUGAACUUUCCAAUGAUACUUUCAGGAAAUGAAAAAUCAAGGUGCCACUGAAGAUAGAUUGGUACUUCUGAAUGGUGUAUGCGGAGCUUUCAGGCCCGGUGUUUUGACAGCAUUGAUGGGAGUUAGUGGCGCUGGAAAAACAACGUUAAUGGAUGUAUUAGCUGGACGAAAAACAGGAGGAUAUAUUGAGGGUAGUAUCAAGAUCUCUGGCUAUCCGAAGAAGCAAGAAACAUUUGCACGUAUAUCCGGAUACUGUGAACAGAAUGAUAUCCAUUCACCUUAUGUUACAGUUUAUGAGUCAUUAGUAUACUCAGCUUGGUUGCGUUUACCUUCUGAUGUUGAUGAAAAGACCAGAAAGGUUUGCUCCUUUUGAAUAUAAGUUAAAUGCAGUUAAUGUGGAAAUCAUAUGACAUUUCCUAUAUUAUAUCCUUGUGUAGAUGUUUGUUGAUGAAGUUAUGGAACUUGUGGAGCUUACACCAUUAAGGUCAGCGUUGGUUGGUCUGCCAGGAGUCAACGGUCUCUCAACUGAGCAACGCAAAAGGUUGACCAUUGCAGUGGAACUAGUGGCAAACCCCUCUAUCAUUUUCAUGGAUGAACCAACUUCGGGGUUGGAUGCAAGAGCUGCUGCAAUUGUUAUGAGAACUGUUAGGAACACAGUUGACACAGGAAGAACCGUUGUUUGUACCAUCCAUCAGCCUAGUAUCGACAUUUUUGAAGCAUUUGAUGAGGUGAAUCUAAUAAAUGUCAUCUUUCUUUUUUGACAUUGAAUACUAAUAUAAAUACCACUCUUUGCAGCUAUUUCUAAUGAAACGAGGAGGAAACGAGAUAUAUGUUGGUCCAUUGGGUCACCAUUCUUGCCAUUUAAUCAGAUACUUUGAGGUAAGUUGUCUAAGUAGAUAAACGAGCCUCCCCUUUUUCAAGUUAAUACGAUCGAAUAACAAAAUAAUUCUUCUUGUAUUCAGUCAAUUCCUGGGGUAAGUAAAAUACACGAUGGCUACAAUCCAGCAACUUGGAUGUUAGAAGUCACAAAUUUGGCUCAGGAAACGAUGCUGGGGCUUGAUUUCACUGAUUUAUACAAGAAAUCAGACCUUUACAGGAGGAAUAAAACAUUGAUUAGUGAACUUAGCAUGCCUUGCCCUGGUACAAAAGACCUGCAUUUCAACAAUCAAUACUCACAACCAUUUUGGAUCCAAUGUAUGGCUUGCCUUUGGAAGCAACACUGGUCAUACUGGCGUAA
rnacentral:lncRNA from 1 species